rnacentral:rRNA from 1 species
AUUGAACGCUGGCGGCAGGCCUAACACAUGCAAGUCGAACGAACCCUUCGGGGUUAGUGGCGGACGGGUGAGUAACACGUGGGAACGUGCCUUUAGGUUCGGAAUAACUCAGGGAAACUUGUGCUAAUACCGAAUGUGCCCUUCGGGGGAAAGAUUUAUCGCCUUUAGAGCGGCCCGCGUCUGAUUAGCUAGUUGGUGAGGUAAUGGCUCACCAAGGCUACGAUCAGUAGCUGGUCUGAGAGGAUGACCAGCCACAUUGGGACUGAGACACGGCCCAAACUCCUACGGGAGGCAGCAGUGGGGAAUCUUGCGCAAUGGGCGAAAGCCUGACGCAGCCAUGCCGCGUGGAUGAUGAAGGUCUUAGGAUUGUAAAAUCCUUUCACCGGUGAAGAUAAUGACUGUAGCCGGAGAAGAAGCCCCGGCUAACUUCGUGCCAGCCGCCGCAGUAAAAC